GCGCGAAAACUCCACAAUACACGAAAGUGUGAUGGGGGGAUCCCGAGUGCUCAUGUUUUACAUGGGCUUUUGCCAAGUGUAAAUAGCUUGGCGAAUAAGCGGUGGGCAAGACUGGUGCCAGCCGCCGCGGUAACACCAGCGCCGCAAGUGGGGAUCACAUUUAUUUGGCCUAAAGCGUUCGUAGCCGGCUUAGUAAAUCUCUUGUGAAAUCGUGCGAUUCAACCGCACGGCGUGCAGGAGACACUGCUAAGCUAGGGACUGGGAGGAGUCAGGAGUAUGGAUAGGGGAGCAGUAAAAUGCUAUAAUCCUUUUUAGACUACCGGUGGCGAAGGCGCCUGACCAGAACAGAUCCGACGGUGAGGGACGAAAGCUAGGGGAGCAAUCCGGAUUAGAUACCCAGGUAGUCCCUGAGCGGGCUGGCAAGGCGCAU
rnacentral:rRNA from 1 species